AGUGAACGCUGGCGGUAGGCCUAACACAUGCAAGUCGAACGGCAGCACAGUAGGAGCUUGCUCUUACGGGUAGCGAGUGGCGGACGGGUGAGGAAUACAUCGGAAUCUACUUUUUCGUGGGGAUAACGUAGGGAAACUUACGCUAAUACCGCAUACGACCUACGGGUGAAAGCAGGUGAUCUUCGGACCUUGCGCGAUUGAAUGAGCCGAUGUCGGAUUAGCUAGUUGGCGGGGUAAAGGCCCACCAAGGCGACGAUCCGUAGCUGGUCUGAGAGGAUGAUCAGCCACACUGGAACUGAGACACGGUCCAGACUCCUACGGGAGGCAGCAGUGGGGAAUAUUGGACAAUGGGCGCAAGCCUGAUCCAGCCAUACCGCGUGGGUGAAGAAGGCCUUCGGGUUGUAAAGCCCUUUUGUUGGGAAAGAAAAGCAGCAGGUUAAUACCCCGCUGUUCUGACGGUACCCAAAGAAUAAGCACCGGCUAACUUCGUG
rnacentral:rRNA from 1 species